rnacentral:rRNA from 1 species
GAUCCUGGCUCAGGAUGAACGCUGGCGGCGUGCCUAACACAUGCAAGUCGACGGAAAUCAGGCGCUUCGGAGACUUCGGUCAAUGUUGCCUGGUUUAGUGGCGGACGGGUGAGUAACGCGUGGAUAACCUGCCUCAUACAGGGGGAUAACAGUUAGAAAUGACUGCUAAUACCGCAUAAGCGCACGGGACCGCAUGAUCCUGUGUGAAAAACUCCGGUGGUAUGAGAUGGAUCCGCGUCUGAUUAGCUAGUUGGCGGGGUAACAGCCCACCAAGGCGACGAUCAGUAGCCGGCCUGGGAGGGUGAACGGCCACAUUGGGACUGAGACACGGCCCAAACUCCUACGGGAGGCAGCAGUGGGGGAUAUUGCACAAUGGGGGAAACCCUGAUGCAGCCGACGCCGCGUGAGUGAAGAAGUAUUUCGGUAUGUAAAGCUCUAUCAGCAGGGAAGAUAAUGACGGUACCUGACUAAGAAGCACCGGCUAAAUACGUGCCAGCCGCUGC